rnacentral:rRNA from 1 species
UACGUAGGGGGCAAGCGUUGUCCGGAAUCAUUGGGCGUAAAGCGCGCGUAGGCGGCCCGGUAAGUCCGUUGUGAAAGUCAAAGGCUCAACCUUUGAACGCCGAUGGAUACUGCCGGGCUAGAGUCCGGAAGAGGCGAGUGGAAUUCCUGGUGUAGCGGUGGAAUGCGCAGAUAUCAGGAGGAACACCGAUGGCGAAGGCAGCUCGCUGGGACGGUACUGACGCUGAGGCGCGAAAGCGUGGGGAGCGAACAGG